CAGCGCCACAAGUGGGGACCCGUAUUAUUGGGCCUAAAGCGUCCGUAGCCGGUUUAGUAAAUCUUAUGUGAAAUCGUAGGGCUUAACCUUACGGCGUGCAAAAGACACUACUAGACUUGAGACCGGGAGGAGUCAGAGGUAUUUCUUGGGUAGCGGUAAAAUGCAAUAAUCCAAGAAGGACCACCUGUGGCGAAGGCGUCUGACUAGAACGGAUCUGACGGUGAGGGACGAAAGCCAGGGGAGCGAACCGGAUUAGAUACCCGCGUAGUCC
rnacentral:rRNA from 1 species